GACGAACGCUGGCGGCGUGCUUAACACAUGCAAGUCGAACGGAAAGGCCCUUCGGGGUACUCGAGUGGCGAACGGGUGAGUAACACGUGGGUGAUCUGCCCUGCACUUUGGGAUAAGCCUGGGAAACUGGGUCUAAUACCGAAUAGGACCACGCGCUUCAUGGUGUGUGGUGGAAAGCUUUUGCGGUGUGGGAUGGGCCCGCGGCCUAUCAGCUUGUUGGUGGGGUAAUGGCCUACCAAGGCGACGAAGGGUAGCCGGCCUGAGAGGGUGACCGGCCACACUGGGACUGAGAGACGGCCCAGACUCCUACGGGAGGCAGCAGUGGGGAAUAUUGCACAAUGGGCGCAAGCCUGAUGCAGCGACGCCGCGUGAGGGAUGACGGCCUUCGGGUUGUAAACCUCUUUCACCAGGGACGAAGCGUAAGUGACGGUACCUGGAGAAGAAGCACCGGCCAACUACGUG
rnacentral:rRNA from 1 species